rnacentral:tRNA from 4 species
GGGCUCGUAGCUCAGUGGCAGAGCGGUCGGCUCAUAACCGAUUGGUCGCAGGUUCGAACCCUGCCGAGCCCA